GGUACAAUGGCCGAGCGGUCUAAGGCGCUGGAAUUAGGCUCCAGUCUCAUUGAGGCGGGGGUUCGAAUCCCUCUUGUGCCA
rfam:chromosome XI of strain GB-M1 of Encephalitozoon cuniculi (Microspora)